GUCAGGAUGGCCGAGCGGUCUAAGGCGCUGCGUUCAGGUCGCAGUUCAGUACUCUGGACGAGGGUUCGAAUCCCUCUUCUGACA
rnacentral:tRNA from 1 species